UUCCGGUUGAUCCCGCCGGACCCCACUGCUAUCGAGGUGGGACUAAGCCAUGCUAGUUGAGCGCACAGAACUAUGUCUGUGAGCGGCACACUGCUCAGUAACACGUAGCUAACCUACCCUUAGGACGUGGACAACCCCGAGAAAUUGGGGCUAAUCCGCGAUAGAUGUAUUGUCCUGGAAUGGUAUUACGUCUAAAGGUAUCCCAUACAUGUUUGGUAUAUGCCUAAGGAUGGGGCUGCGGCCGAUCAGGCUGUUGGUGAGGUAAUGGCUCACCAAACCUUUGACCGGUACGGGCCAUGAGAGUGGUAGCCCGGAGAUGGACACUGAGACAAGGGUCCAGGCCCUACGGGGCGCAGCAGGCGCGAAACCUCCUCAAUGCACUUACGUGCGAAGGGGCUACCUCGAGUGCCAUCUGAUGAAGGUGGCUUUUCCUAGGUCUAAAAAGCCUUGGGAAUAAGAGGGGGGCAAGACUGGUGUCAGCCGCCGCGGUAACACCAGCCCCUCGAGUGGUGGGGAUGAUUAUUGGGCCUAAAGCGUCCGUAGCCUGCCGUGUAAGUUUCCCGUUAAAUCCAGCGUCUUAAGCGUUGGACCGCGGGAAAUACUGUACGGCUAGAGAGUGGGAGAGGUCAGCGGUAUUCUGGGGGUAGGGGCGAAAUCCUUUGAUCCCCGGAGGACCACCAGUGGCGAAGGCUGCUGUCUAGAACACGUCUGACGGUCAGGGACGAAAGCUGGGGUAGCGAACCGGAUUAGAUACCCGGGUAGUCCCAGCCGUAAACGAUGCAUGCUAGGUGUUGGGUUGGCCACGAGCCACCCCAGUGCCGCAGGGAAGCCGUUAAGCAUGCCGCCUGGGAAGUACGAUCGCAAGGUUGAAACUUAAAGGAAUUGGCGGGGGAGCACCACCAGGCGUGAAGCCUGCGGUUUAAUUGGAGUCAACGCCGGG
rnacentral:rRNA from 1 species